rnacentral:tRNA from 1 species
GGAGAGGUGUCGGAGUGGUCGAACGAGCACGAUUGGAAAUCGUGUAAACGCUAAUACCGUUUCAUGGGUUCAAAUCCCAUCCUCUCCGCCA